rnacentral:rRNA from 1 species
GGGCCCGCACAAGCAGUGGAUUAUGUGGUUUAAUUCGAAGCAACGCGAAGAACCUUACCAGGUCUUGACAUCCCCUGAGUAGCCGGGAGACCGGUGAUGCCCUUCGGGGCAGGGAGACAGGUGGUGCAUGGUUGUCGUCAGCUCGUGUCGUGAGAUGUUGGGUUAAGUCCCGCAACGAGCGCAACCCUUACGAUUAGUUGCUACGCAAGAGCACUCUAAUAGGACUGCCGUUGACAAAACGGAGGAAGGUGGGGAUGACGUCAAAUCAUCAUGCCCUUUAUGACCUGGGCUACACACGUAAUACAAUGGCACUUAACAGCGGGAGGCGAAGCCGCGAGGUGGAGCGAAUCCCCAAAAAGUGUCCCAGUUCGGAUUGCAGGCUGCAACUCGCCUGUAUGAAGUCGGAAUUGCUAGUAAUCGCGGAUCAGCACGCCG